rnacentral:tRNA from 1 species
GCUUUCGUGGUGUAGUGGUCAGCACGCUCGACACGUAUGCGAGAGGUCCGUGGUUCGAGUCCCGGCGAGGGCA